CGAACGCUGGCGGCGUGCCUAAUACAUGCAAGUAGAACGCUGAAGUAAGAGCUUGCUCUUACAGAUGAGUUGCGAACGGGUGAGUAACACGUGGGGAACCUACCUUCUAGCGGGGGAUAACACAUAGAAAUGUGUGCUAAUACCGCAUAAUAGUAUUUGAUGCAUAUCAGAUAUUUGAAAGGCGCAAUUGCGUCACUAGAAGAUGGCCCCGCGGUGCAUUAGCUAGUUGGUGAGGUAACGGCUCACCAAGGCAAUGAUGCAUAGCCGACCUGAGAGGGUGAUCGGCCACACUGGGACUGAGACACGGCCCAGACUCCUACGGGAGGCAGCAGUAGGGAAUCUUCGGCAAUGGACGCAAGUCUGACCGAGCAACGCCGCGUGAGUGAAGAAGGUUUUCGGAUCGUAAAACU
rnacentral:rRNA from 1 species